rnacentral:rRNA from 1 species
GGGCCCGCACAAGUAGUGGAGCAUGUGGUUUAAUUCGAAGAUACGCGCAGAACCUUACCAACACUUGACAUGUUCGUCGCGACUCUAAGAGAUUAGAGUUUUCGGUUCGGCCGGACGAAACACAGGUGCUGCAUGGCUGUCGUCAGCUCGUGUCGUGAGAUGUUGGGUUAAGUCCCGCAACGAGCGCAACCCUCACUUUUAGUUGCCAUCAUUAAGUUGGGCACUCUGAAAGAACUGCCAGUGAUAAGCUGGAGGAAGGUGGGGAUGACGUCAAGUCCUCAUGGCCCUUACGUGUUGGGCUACACACGUGCUACAAUGGUAUUUACAACAGGAAGCAAGACUGCGAAGUUAAGCAAAUCCCUAAAAGAUACCUCAGUUCGGAUUGCACUCUGCAACUCGAGUGCAUGAAGCUGGAAUUACUAGUAAUCG